CAAAUUUUGAUCUGAAAUCAGGUAGGAUUACCCGCUGAACUUAAGCAUAUCAAUAAGCGGAGGAAAAGAAACUAACAAGGAUUCCCUCAGUAACGGCGAGUGAAGCGGGAAGAGCUCAAAUUUAAAAUCUGGUUUACUUGUAAGCCCGAGUUGUAGUCUGAAGAAACGUUUUCCAUAAGCACUGAGGCAAAAGUCCCUUGGAACAGGGCAUCAUAGAGGGUGAGAAUCCCGUCCAUGGUCUCAAGUUGUUUAUUUUGUGAUACGUUUUCAAAGAGUCAGGUUGUUUGGGAAUGCAGCCUAAAAUGGGUGGUAAAUUUCAUCUAAAGCUAAAUAUUGGCGAGAGACCGAUAGCGAACAAGUACCGUGAGGGAAAGAUGAAAAGAACUUUGAAAAGAGAGUUAAACAGUACGUGAAAUUGUUGAAAGGGAACCGUUUGAAGCCAGUCUUACUUGCUCGUGAUCAAUUUUUGCUUCGGCAUGAAUGCACUCUCGGGUAUGGUAGGCCAACGACAGUUUAGAAUGCGAGAAAAAAAUUUGGGAAAUGUGGCCUUCGGGUGUUAUAGUCCCUUAUAAAAUAUCGUGUUCUGGACUGAGGAUCGCAGCAAAAAUGUGGGCAGGUGGAUUUCUGUGGUAACUGUCGGUUAGGACAACUUGUUGACCUAGUCUUCCUUAGCCUCACUAUUUACCUUGCUUCUAAUUUGCUUAGGUCGUUGGCAUAAUGGCUUUAAAUGACCCGUCUUGAAACACGGACCAAGGAGUCUAACAUAUAUGCGAGUAUUUGGGUGGCAAACCCAUAUGCGCAAUGAAAGUGAAAUUAGGUGCCAAACCUUCACGGGUGGCAGCAUCGGCCGGCUCUGACGUUUUAACUGACGAGUCUGAGCAGAAGCAUACAUGUUGGGACCCGAAAGAUGGUGAACUAUGCCUGAAUAGGGUGAAGCCAGAGGAAACUCUGGUGGAGGCUCGUAGCGAUUCUGACGUGCAAAUCGAUCGUCAAAUUUGGGUAUAGGGGCGAAAGACUAAUCG
rnacentral:rRNA from 1 species